CCCGCCCCCCCCAACAACAAGCGUAGUGCUGCGUGCCGUCUGUCGUCUGUCGUCUGUCGUCCGCAGGGGGCUGUCUCUCCAGGACCUUUGUUUUGGAUGUGAAUGAGGACAGCUGCCAGAUCCUGCUGUCUGCUGCACACAGUCGGCACUCAGCAUCACACGAGAUGAAGAUAUGUACUGUGACCGCUGACUUCUGGCCAGACCAUCAGACUGUUUCUUUUAAAAGAGCUUCCUGGUUCCCUUUAAGUUUAGAUUUGGAUAUGUAGAAUUUAAGAGGUAAGGAGAACUAAGAAAUUUCCUCACAAAUGGAGACCCUGAAGCCCAGAGAGAGGAAGUGACCAGCUCAAGAUCACACAGCUCAUCAGUGUGGCAGAGGCGGGAAUGGAAGCCAGGUUUCUGCUCUCAUUCCAGGGCUCUUUCCAUGAUCCCUAACCUCCCUAGACACUACCUCCAAAAGGGAGCUGUGGCCAUUUGGAGUCCUGUGGUGAAUGAAAUGGAAGAUUCUUAAGAGACAUCUUUGGCUUGAUUUUGUCCUAUGUAGAGGGGCUGGGUAAUGCUCUGCUCCACGCUGGCGUGUUACAAUACCCCACUCACCUACCCUCCUCAGUUCUAUCCAUUCUAUCCCUUCCCAUCCGUGGUGAUCCAUAUAACAAAAGAGGAAAGCAGUGGGUUCAGAUUCUAAACCGGGAAUCUUGUCAUGUCCCGAGAUCUUUCCACGAUUCGCAAAACCACCGACAGGUUCCAAACUAUCAAUGUGACUGAUUUUCGUCAGGGAGGUGAUAUCAGAGGUAGUGUUUAAAGCAAUUGUUUGAGGCAACAGGAAGAACAUGAAGGAAAUGCCUGACCAUUUCUGGUCAUUCUGCCUUGUAGAGCCUUGGGAGAAAGGAAGGAAGAAGGAAGGUUUGAAAGUUCUCUGCUAUCUGGCCUAUUAAACUUUCUUAUCA
ensembl:lncRNA